GACGAACCGUGCUAACGUUGUUCGGAAUCACUGGGCUUAAAGAGCUCGUAGGCGGCUUGUCACGUCGGAUGUGAAAGCCCGGGGCUUAACCCCGGGCCUGCAGUGGGUACGGGCAGACUAGAGUGCGGUAGGGGAGACUGGAAUUCCUGGUGUAGCGGUGAAAUGCGCAGAUAUCAGGAGGAACACCGGUGGCGAAGGCGGGUCUCUGGGCCGUAACUGACGCUGAGGAGCGAAAGCAUGGGGAGCGAACAGG
rnacentral:rRNA from 1 species